rnacentral:rRNA from 1 species
UACGUAGGGUGCGAGCGUUAAUCGGAAUUACUGGGCGUAAAGCGUGCGUAGACGGUUAUUUAAGUCGGGUGUGAAAGCCCCGGGCUCAACCUGGGAAUUGCAUUCGAGACUGAAUAGCUAGGGUACGGUAGAGGGAAGUGGAAUUUCCGGUGUAGCGGUGAAAUGCGUAGAUAUCGGAAGGAACAUCAGUGGCGAAAGCGACUUCCUGGACCAAUACUGACACUCAAGUGCGAAAGCGUGGGGAGCAAACAGG